GUCACCUACAAUUUCCAAAAUCUCUGAUAUUUAGAAGACACAACAAGGAAUAUGGAACAGGAAGAUCAACCUUGCAAACAGCAGAAAGGAAUUAAACCCUAAUUGCUAGCAAAAUCUCAAUUCUAUGAAUCAAAGUGAGGGUGUGGGAAGAUCCAAUCCAAGACAAACAAAUGACAUUAUUCACGGUUUUCUUUCUACAAGCAACAAAAGCAUGAAGAGAAAAUACGUCGAUAUUAUAAUUUAAGAUAUUUUCCAGCAUGCGUAUCUGUUAUGAACUCAUUCCAUAUAUUUCUAUAAGAAGAUUUCUACCAUCAGAGAAUGUAAUGGAAUCCAUUUGCUGCAAAUCCAUCAAUACUAAGUUCAUAGAAACAGUUCCAGGAUACCACGCCACAAAGCAUACAAUUCAGCUUACCUCUACCCUUAAUAGCUCUGAGUGUUUCAACUUCUCCCCAUCCAAGUGCAGUUGUGGUUCGCACUUCAAAGACUGAUCAACCGCUGAAACUGUUGAGGACUCCGGUAUGUAUUGAGAUUCAAACUGUGGCCCUUGUGGAGAAUCAGUGUCAGAGUACGCAAACAUAUCAUUUGGUUUCGACAGCUUAGAGAUAUUGCUUUUGUUAA